rnacentral:misc_RNA from 1 species
CACUACCCGAGUUAACUCAGGUG